GACGAACGCUGGCGGCGUGCUUAACACAUGCAAGUCGAACGAUGAAACCUAGCUUGCUAGGUCGAUUAGUGGCGAACGGGUGAGUAACACGUGACUAACCUGCCCCUUUCUCUGGGAUAACGCUCCGAAAGGAGUGCUAAUACCGGAUACUCACAUCGAGGCACAUGCCUUGAUGUGGAAAGUUUUUGGGAAAGGGAUGGAGUCGCGGCCUAUCAGCUUGUUGGUGAGGUAACGGCUCACCAAGGCGACGACGGGUAGCCGGCCUGAGAGGGCGACCGGCCACACUGGGACUGAGACACGGCCCAAACUCCUACGGGAGGCAGCAGUGGGGAAUAUUGCACAAUGGGCGCAAGCCUGAUGCAGCGACGCCGCGUGAGGGAUGAAGGUCUUCGGAUUGUAAACCUCUUUCAGUAGGGACGAAGCGAAAGUGACGGUACCUAAAGAAGAAGCACCGGCUAACUACGUGCCAGCCGCCGCCGUAA
rnacentral:rRNA from 1 species